AUGGCCGCGGUCGGACGUGUUCGCAUGUCCGUCUGAGGAACUUCCGGGCUCCAUAGAGCACGAUGGCGGAUAACGUCCGCCCAGGGUGACCUGAGAGAUAGCGCAGCAGAGAACAGACCGCCUUUCGGUUUCGGCCGGAAGGUAAGGGUGAAACGGCGGUGUAAGAGACCACCGGGCCCCUGGUAACAGUGGGUCGCUUGGCAAGCCUCAUCGGGAGCAAGGCCAAACAGAUGGCGGCAAGGGCUGCUCGCCCGUGCCAUCGGGUAGGCUGCUAGAGCCCAGCGGUGACGUUGGGUCGAGAUGGAUGGCCAUCCGUGUGCCUGGCACACGACAGAACCCGGGGUAUAAGAGGUCUC
rnacentral:RNase_P_RNA from 1 species